rnacentral:rRNA from 1 species
AUUGAACGCUGGCGGCAGGCUUAACACAUGCAAGUCGAGCGGGGGAAGGUAGCUUGCUACCGGACCUAGCGGCGGACGGGUGAGUAAUGCUUAGGAAUCUGCCUAUUAGUGGGGGACAACAUCUCGAAAGGGAUGCUAAUAACGCAUACGACCUACGGGAGAAAGAAGGGGAUCUUCGGACCUUGCGCUAAUAGAUGAGCCUAAGUCGGAUUAUCUAGUUGGUGGGGUAAAGGCCUACCAAGGCGACGAUCUGUAGCGGGUCUGAGAGGAUGAUCCGCCACCCUGGGACUUAGAAACGGCCCAGACUCCUACGGGAGGCAGCAGUGGGGAAUAUUGGACAAUGGGGGGAAACCUGAUCCAGCCAUGCCGGGUGUGUGAAGAAGGCCUUAUGGUUGUAAAGCACUUUAAGCGAGGAGGAGGCUACUCUAGUUAAUACCUAGGGAUAGUGGACGUUACUCGCAGAAUAAGCACCGGCUAACUCUGUGCCAGCAGCCGCAGUAA